rnacentral:lncRNA from 1 species
UUUCCAAAGUUUGCAUGUUAACUUUAAAUGCUUACAAUCUUAGAGUGGUAGGCAAUGUUUUACACUAUUGACCUUAUAUAGGCAUGGCGGGGGGCCUGUGGGUUUUUAAAGAAUUUUCCUUUGCAGAGGCAUUUCAUCCUUCAUGAAGCUGUUCAGGAUUUUGAAUUGCAUAUGGGUGCUUGGCUCUCCUUCUGUUCUCCUAACUUCACAGAGAAUGCAGUUGUCUUGACUUCAGGUCUGUCUGUUCUGUUGGCAAGUAAAUGGCAGUACUGUUCUGAUCCCGCUGCUAUUAGAAUGCAUUGUGAAACGACUGGAGUAUGAUUAAAAGUUGUGUUCCCCAAUGCUUGGAGUAGUGAUUGUUGAAGGAAAAAAUCCAGCUGAGUGAUAAAGGCUGAGUGUUGAGGAAAUUUCUGCAGUUUUAAGCAGUCGUAUUUGUGAUUGAAGCUAAGUACAUUUUGCUGUGUAUUUUUAGGUAAAAUGCUUUUUGUUCAUUUCUGGUGGUGGGAGGGGACUGAAGCCUUUAGUCUUUUCCAGAUGCAACCUUAAAAUCAGUGACAAGAAACAAAAUUCAAACAAGCAACAGUCUUCAAGAAAUUAAACUGGCAAGUGGAAAUGUUUAACAGUUCAGCGAUCUUUAGUGCAUUGUUUUUGUGUGGGUUUCUCUCUCCCCUCCCUUGGUCUUAAUUCUUACAUGCAGGAACACUCAGCAGACACACGUAUGCGAAG